rnacentral:rRNA from 1 species
UACGGAGGGGGCUAGCGUUGUUCGGAAUUACUGGGCGUAAAGCGCGCGUAGGCGGACCUGCAAGUCGGGGGUGAAAGCCCGAGGCUCAACCUCGGAACUGCCUUCGAUACUGCGGGUCUCGAGUCCGGGAGAGGUAAGUGGAAUUCCUAGUGUAGAGGUGAAAUUCGUAGAUAUUAGGAAGAACACCAGUGGCGAAGGCGGCUCACUGGCCCGGUACUGACGCUGAGGCGCGAAAGCGUGGGGAGCGAACAGG